UAGACUAUAAUGGAUGAAAUUAAUGGCCAGUUCUUCAGGAGAGAGGGUCUUUCAUUUCUCUCUGUCGCUUUAUGAGAUUCAGGGUCAUGAGACAAAAGUUUGGAAGCAUCACAAGACUCAUCAGGUGAUGGUGCAUCAUCAUCAAUCUUGUGAUUGUGCAAUGUUUCCUGGAGAAAUAAAAGUAACCAUUUCUAGGACUAAGCCAACAUACAGUGACAAGGAGUUUCUAAUGGAGCAUUGAGAAUGUAAAAGAGCGUACCGGAAUCCUCAAUGAAAUUAUGGUAACCAGAAGUGCAAAGCAAGAUAUUGCUAAGCACGGCAAGAAGUAGGGAAACCUGCAUUAUAAUAUAUAGACCAAUGAGUCUAUUUAUAUACAUAGAUUAGUUGAAUGAAAGUGAAAGAAAGUAGUACUUACUUCCCAAAAACCGACUCCUCUGAGAAUAAACUUGGAUAUUGCUUUGCAGGCUACAAUAUUGGGAGAUUGAACAAGAAUCAAUCAAGAAGUGCGAGUGAGGUAGAGUAAGAAAACAAGAUUAAAAUGUUUUUGUUAAUGAAGAAGACCUGAGCAAGAAAGCCUCCCAUAGCAGGACCAAUGAUGAGUCCAAUGCCCCAUGCUGUACUAACCUACGUGGUUUGAUAAGGUUCUGAUUACUCUACUCAAUUAGAAAAGUAAAUACAUGUUUGGACCAAUGUGCUUACAGCUGAGAGUGCUAAACCUUGAUAUUCAUCACGGAAUGUUUCCACUGCGUAAGCCUGAGUUCAUUAACAUUUUUCUGUUUAGUGAGCUUCAAGAAGUUAAAUGGAAUUAAGUAUGCAACAAUGUUAAAAGGAGGACAGGAAAACACCUUUAUAGGACCAAGUAAGCCGUUGAAACAACCGAGGCAAAACCUUGUGAUGAUGGCCAUCCAGUAAUUUACACUUAGGCCAAACAGAGUAUUGAAAAUGACCCUGUGACAAAAAAAAUUGAAGGGUAGUUUAGACAAAUAAACAAAAAAAUAAGUAUGAGAAAGAGUUGAACUAACACUGAAGCAGUUCCUAUGAGGAUUACACGUUUUCUACCAUAACGAUCAGCCACAAUACCCCAGACGACAGAUGUCAACGUUCGUCCGAGCAUGAGAGAGCAACCUUCAAAGGUAUAUAUUGGAGACAAUGAAAAUUUGAAAAAGGCUUAGCUUGUAAUCUAAAGUAGUGGUCUGAAACUUCUUGGUUAUAUAUAAAACAAAACAAAGAGAGAUUAAUAGGAGAGGAUGACUCACCAACAAAUCCAGCAUAAAACCCAAUGUCCUCUUCCUUCUUUGCUAUGUUAAAAUCACCAAUCUACCAAACAACAAAACAAAAAAAGUUUUGACCACACCAAGUUUUACCAAUCAUCACAAAAUCCAAAUCAGCACGUUACUAGAGACUAAUCAUAUGUGUUCAGAUGAAGUAGAAUACUAUAAAGCAUUAUGUGGGUACUCACCAUAAAGUAAAGAAAUGGGAAAAGAGAGGAAACGGGCAGAGCUGAAAAUUUACAAAGGAAAACAUUUUCAGAGACGACAUAAAAAAAAAAAAAUUCUCUUCAUCAUCUUUAUUCAAUUCUACAUGAAGAAGGGUUUUACCGGUAGACAAGACGAUGAGCCAAACGGUAACAAGCUCGGAGAAAGGGAAGCCACGGCGAAGCCGCUUCAUCUGGUCAACCUUGCAGCCAGGGCAAUUCUCAUGGAACUUAUUCUCCAGCAAACACUCUGCAUACUCUUGCGCCAUUUGUUCAAAACAAAACCAACCUCCGAAACAAUUGGAGACAAUACAAAAAGAUUGGGAAGAGGUGGAGACGAUGCGAUGUGUUCUUUAUUUAAAAGGGAGGAGCCAAACACAUAGACAACACAAGAGUGUCACGUACUCUCUCUUUAAAUUCUUCUGUCACCAAAUGUUGGAGAACUUUUAAUUAUAUAGAGAGAGGAGCAAAACAAGUUGGCUUUUCUCCUCCUCGCCAGUCGCAGCCAAGGAAUGUGACAGUAUUCUUAUGUCACCUUCCUAAUCUCACUUGGCAUUCAUUGUUCUCAUCAAUCUUUCAGACAAAAAAUAUUAUUUUGUUUCAUCGACAAACCUACAAAUAAUAGUCCUAUCAUACCUGCUACCGAAAUAUUAAAUGCAAUUUCUUGCAGAGCUAUGGUUACGACCUUUAUCGAAAAUAUGAAAAUCGAUAUGAAUAGCUAUUUGUGUUAUGGUAGUUAACAGGUUAGGUGGUAGUGGUACGAGUAAUACAUAGGCUUCGAAUAGUGACCAUCGUUUCGUUCCGCCCUACAGUUAACAGUAACAAAAAUUUCUACAUAUACUAUAUAUUUAUAUAUUUUUAUAACUGUUAGAACCGCACCGCAGUUGAACCGCUUGUCCCACACUGCUUAAACUACAGUCACCAUUCGGAGCCAUAAGUUGAAUGCAAAGGUCCGACGCACGUAUUUGAAAAUUGAAUAUUAAUAGAUUUUUUUACCUUUUUGGUGGCCUUUUGUGGGUGGACCACGGAAAUUCAAUAAUUUAACUUGCGAACUUCAAAUGUUAUUUUUUCUUUGUUGUUGUAAAACUGAAUUUUUGUUUUCUUCUCCACGGUUUUCAAAUUCUCUACAUUUAAUUUAAUUAUUUUCUAGUAGUAAAAUAGAAAUUACAUUUUUUUCCUUCUAAUUUGACGCUAAAGCAUCAAUUCAAUAAUACUAUUGUAUUUAUUUUAGUAAUACAGAAUUAUAGUGAUUUUUUCAUCUCCGAAGUUCUAACCUAAUUAUUGGGAUGAUUCACAGAGUCUUGGGAUGAUUCACAGAGUCUAUAUGAAUCUGUUUUGUUGUUAACAAAAAAAAAAUUACAUUUAUCGGUUUAACUCUAUGAGUGUGAUUGGAAAACUGCAACACUCCAAUCACGCUCUAUAUUUCCGGAAAAUUGCAAAUAAUCUUUCUCACUUUCUUUGUCAAACGAUUGCAAAGUCAUUAUCUUGUCAGAGAGAGAGAGAGAGGUUUCAUUGAACAUGUGGAGUAGGUAUAUUAGUUUUCAACACGUGAGUAUCAAAUCAAACCAAUAUAGAAUUAGUACUUUUAACUUUCUGGUGUGCUUUAUUAUACCAUUGAUGUUUUCUUAGCGUUUGGUAGAAAAUCACAAAACCAAAACAGAAGGAGAUAAAAUGAAACUAGAAUCCUAGGUUUGUAAGUUAAGCUUUAUUUUUGUAUUACUGAUAUUGUACUACAUUAUAACAAGGUGUGUUCUCGUAACUAUGUAUCUUUCAAACAAAUCUCUGAUCUAAUUUGGCAUCAGACUAAAUACAAUCUAAAAGUAAAAUACACCAAUGGUAUCGUAAUUUGAAUACCAUCAAAAAUCUCAUUGAUCUCUAGUGUUGUGUUUGAGCAAGAAAUGGUUUGAACGUCAUUACAACUCCGAGUGCCAAGACCGUACCGAGGAUAAAGAAUACCAUUUGUGUUCCUGCAUAUUCAAAAGAACCAUAUUUUUUAGUCUCACUUGGUCAAAGUUUUGAAUUCUAAACUCAUGUAGCUAAUGAGCACAGUAUGGAUAUGAAUAUGAAGAGUUCACAUUACCAGGAAGGAAAGCAGCAUCCUGACGCUUCUCGCUCCAAGAAUAGCUGCCAUGCAACCGAAACAAAGGAGAGAAUAUUAAAUAAGAAACGAAAAGAGAAAAGAGUUGAAUAUAUUUGAAGCAUAAUAUUAUUUACAUUAUGCCUGCUGCUGCUGGACCUAUUGCUUUAAAAAGGGACAUCCCUGUCAUGGCAAUCCCAUUAGCUGCUCCUCUUUGAUCUUGUCUCUGUUUUGUCAAUACAUAAACAUGUUAGCUUUACUUUCGGUUUUACCUAGUUUAAAAAAAUGGAAUCUGAAAAUACUUACUACAGCUCUGUUUUGAAGUAUGAAUAAACCAGUAAUAGCCGAAGUCUGCACACAAACACACACACACAACUGGUGAGAAUAUAUAUACUAAACUUAAAACUAAACAUUCUGCCAAGGUUAUCAGAGACUUACGGCUAAAACAUUCUUUGCUACAGACGCACAGUUUAGCGCCAGGGUAAGGGCUAAACCAGAUAGCUUUGCUAUUAGAGGGUACGUUGAUAAGAGAACUAAUGCCAAACUCUGUUGAGUAACAAAAAAACAAGCACAAGAUUAAAAACUUUCUUGCUCAGUGUCAUAAGGUUUGUAGUGAGAACAACAAAGUUUAGUGGUUACCCCGGAGAUACGUGUAACCAUGGUUGGUCCUAAGAGCCGCUCCGCAUAAGAGUAGAGGGAAAGCUGAAAGAUAAGGAGACCAAACCCUAUAGAUAAGUAGAAUUGUUUAGUUCAUAAAAGGUCAUUUCUGCUGAAAAUGUUAAGCACUGAGAAGUAUGGAGUAUGGACACACCUGAAAAUGCAAGAACAGAACCAACAUCGGCUGAUGAGUAUCCCAAACCUCCAUAUUUCGUCGGACUGUUUGCCCACAAUGAAAAGAUCUAUGGGAGAAAGAAAACUCAAAAUUUAAACUUUUGAGCCAAGUAAACACAUAAUGAAUGUGGAGCAAGAGAAGUGGCACCUCUGUGUAAGCCAUAUCAUGAAGUGAAAAAAUGCAGUAGACGAUAAUAGAUGAAAUCAGUGGCCAGUUCUUCAGAAGAGAGGUUUUUUCAUUUCUCUCUAUCGCUUUAUGAGAUUCAGGGUCAUGAGACAAAAGUUUGGAAGCAUCAAAGGACUCAUCAGGUGAUGGUGCAUCAUCAUCAAUCUUGUGAUUGUGCAAUGUUUCCUGGAGAGGAAAAAAAAUCAUUUCUAGUAUUAAGCUAACAUAUAGUAACUAGCAAACUCAAUGGAGCAUGAGAAGGUAAAGAGCGUACCGG
rnacentral:lncRNA from 1 species